AACGAACGCUGGCGGCAUGCCUAACACAUGCAAGUCGAACGAGACCUUCGGGUCUAGUGGCGCACGGGUGCGUAACGCGUGGGAACCUGCCCUUAGGUUCGGAAUAACUCCCCGAAAGGGGUGCUAAUACCGGAUAAUGUCUUCGGACCAAAGAUUUAUCGCCUUUGGAUGGGCCCGCGUUGGAUUAGCUAGUUGGUAGGGUAAAAGCCUACCAAGGCGACGAUCCAUAGCUGGUCUGAGAGGAUGAUCAGCCACACUGGGACUGAGACACGGCCCAGACUCCUACGGGAGGCAGCAGUGGGGAAUAUUGGACAAGGGGCGAAAGCCUGAUCCAGCAAUGCCGCGUGAGUGAUGAAGGCCUUAGGGUUGUAAAGCUCUUUUAACCGGGAUGAUAAUGACAGUACCGGGAGAAUAAGCUCCGGCUAACUCCGUG
rnacentral:rRNA from 1 species